rnacentral:rRNA from 1 species
GACGUAGGGGGCCAGCGUUGUUCGGAAUUACUGGGUGUAAAGGGUUCGUAGGCGGUGCGGCAAGUUAGGAGUGAAAUCUCUGGGCUUAACCCAGAGGCUGCUUCCAAAACUGCUGUGCUUGAGUGUGGGAGAGGCGCGUGGAAUUGCAGGUGUAGCGGUGAAAUGCGUAGAUAUCUGCAGGAACACCCGUGGCGAAAGCGGCGCGCUGGACCACUACUGACGCUGAGGAACGAAAGCUAGGGGAGCAAACAGG